CAGUUCGGAUUGUAGUCUGCAACUCGACUACAUGAAGCUGGAAUCGCUAGUAAUCGCGGAUCAGAAUGCCGCGGUGAAUACGUUCCCGGGUCUUGUACACACCGCCCGUCACACCAUGGGAGUCAGUAACGCCCGAAGCCGGUGACCUAACCGAAAGGGAGGAGCCGUCGAAGGUGGGACCGAUAACUGGGGUGAAGUCGUAACAAGGUACC
rnacentral:rRNA from 1 species